UGCCUCUUUUGGACAGAUUAUCGCCCUGUACCAUCUGGUACAGGGAGGAAAGUCCGGACAGCAGCUUGAGCAUCAUAGUUCCUAACGGGAACCGUCCCGCAAUAUAUUCAAAAUGCGAGAUAGGGAUAGUGCCACAGAGACAAUACGAAUUUUGCUUCGGCGAAAUCAAAGGUGAAAAGUCCUACGUACGUGGGAAUGCGUCUAGUGAUAGACGAGUGUCGGUAAACCCUAUGAGCUGCAAGGUGGGAUGGAGAGAAAGGAAAUUCUUUGCUCAACAAGACCUUUUUCGCCCACUGCAUGAUCCCGCCCGCAAGGGCGGGACUAGAUAGAUGAUAGUCACCCAUGAACCACUCGCUAACGCUUGGAUUCAGGGCUACAGAAUCCGGCUUACCAAAGGAGGCAAUUU
rnacentral:RNase_P_RNA from 2 species